GGAAAGAUGACCGAGAGGUUGAAGGUGUAGACCUGGAACGUCUAUGCAGUGAAAAUCUGCCAAGGGUUCGAAUCCCUUUCUUUCCG
rnacentral:tRNA from 1 species